GCCGUGGAAACAGGGAAGCGUUAGGCCGCCAACCGAGCAGGCACAGGUGGCCUGCGCGGAAGAAAAGCGGGCGCUCCCUUGUCCGGCUGUGGGCCGCAGCGAUCGCCCAGGACCGGGCUUCCCCACUGCUACUCGGUGUUUCGUGUUUCUGGAAUAAGCAUGCACCCCGAGGCCUCGGAGCCUGUGGCGGACCGGGCGGCGGAGCAGGACGGCGCGCAGGAGCAGGGCGUGGAGGAGUCGGCUGGCGAUCACCAGGACGCAGGCCUGGGAGCCCGCAAGGAAGAAAUUAAUGACCCUAAAGAAACGUGUAUAGGUCCUCCUGAUACAUCCUCCCAAAGCAAGCAGAAACAGAGCGGUGAUGGCAGGCCGCAUGGUCAGUUAGCACACCAAAGAGAUGACAAGGAGGAUCACAGCCCCAGAAUGACUAAAAGUUUCCUACAAAAACUCUGCCAGCAACACAAGCUUUAUAUUACCCCGGCAUUGAACGAUACACUGUAUUUACACUUCAAAGGUUUCGAUCGCAUCGAGAACUUGGAAGAGUACACGGGGUUGCGCUGUCUCUGGCUAGAGUGCAACGGCAUACAGAAAAUCGAGAACCUGGAGGCCCAGACGGAGAUGCGCUGUCUCUUCCUGCAAGUGAACCUGCUUCAUAAAAUUGAGAACCUAGAGCCUCUGCAGAAACUGGAUGCUCUUAACCUCAGCAACAAUUACAUCAAGACCAUCGAAAACCUCUCCUGCCUGCCCUUCCUGAACACACUCCAGAUGGCCCACAAUCAUUUGGAGACUGUGGAGGACAUCCAGCAUCUAAAGGAGUGUCCGAAGCUUUGCGUGGUUGACCUUUCCCACAAUAAGCUGAGUGAUCCCGAAAUCCUGAGCAUUCUGGAGAGCAUGCCUGACUUGCGUGUGCUGAAUUUGAUGGGAAACCCAGUCAUUAGAAAUAUCCCUAAUUACCGAAGGACAGUCACCGUUCGGCUAAAACAUUUAACAUACCUGGAUGACAGACCAGUUUUUCCAAAGGACAGAGCUUGUGCAGAGGCCUGGGCUCAGGGAGGGCUCAUGGCUGAGAAAGAGGAGAGGCAGCUGUGGGAAGGCAGAGAGCAGAAGAAGAUCAGAGACAGCAUCGAGGCCCUGGCGAUGAUCAGGCAGCAGAAAGAAAGGCAGGAGAGAGGGGAGGGGCCCGCGCCAGACGGGAAGGCGGACCGGGACGCCGGAGCGGCGGGGAAGGCAGGGCCUCGAGAGGACCCAGGAAGGCGGCAGAAAAUGCAGCUGUUCGUGGAGGAAGGCCUCGAGGCCAGGGACGAGCUGCUCCCGGAAAAGCCGGGUCCGGCGGAGGAGCGGCCGGCGGAUGCGCACGGAGGGGCCGAAGGGCCGGAGCCAGCGGGCGCCGCACAGCCGGCAGCCGCCCUGGAAGAAUCUACCCCCCUGAGUGUGGCCCUUGAGCAUGCAUUCGGUGCAGAACUUGAUGGAGAUGAAGAUUUGGAAACCACUAAACUGGAGAUGAAGGAGAAGCUCUUCAUCGAUGACCUACCUGACUUGGAGGAUAUUGACACAGGCGAAUCCUUGGAGGGCCAGGACAAGAUGUGUUUUCCAAAGAUUACAGCCAUCUCGAGCCUGAGUGAUGACAGUGACCCUGAGCCAGACUACACCUCACUCCAGGGGCAGGAGAACACGGGCACAGACACCCUUUCAAACAUAUUCGCCAUCUCCAAGGACACCUCACAGAAGACUGAGAUGGCCUUUGCAGACAUAUUUAAGGCAGCAGCAAAGGAUCUGGAAACUGAAGGUAGAGACACCAAGUCCCCGCGCCUGCUGAUCCAGGAACUCAACGAGGACCCCUCAGGCGAGCCCCCCACCCACCAAAGGAAUGCCACCCCAGCCCCUUCCAGCAAGGACAGGGACGGUGCCGGACUCCCAUCCUCCCCUCCAGACCAUGGCUCCUAAGGGAGGGCGAGGACCUGAUACCCCGGCUGGGAAUAUGGGACAAGGACCGGCUGAAGGAAACAGCACUGAAAAGACGGGGGUGCAGUCUGAGAUGGAGCCCGAGGCGGGAGAAGACCGAGAGGACAUCGCACUUGGCUUGGACUGAAGCCCAAGGUGGCACAGGGAGCCGGCAGCCGAGCCAGGCCUGAUCCCAGCGGGUGCGGGCCUACCCUUUAGCUGGGCUCCCUUUCCUUCCAAAGACCUGGGGUUACUUGGUUGUCACAGGCCGGCAGGCGGCUCACCUCCCCCACCCACAGCCCCUGCAGGGGCACAGCUGGUCCCCAGGUAUUGGUGGUCUGCCACCUGUAACCGCAAAUGUCCCUGAGCAUGAUAAACACUUCAGUAUCCACGA